rnacentral:rRNA from 1 species
UGAGGAAUAUUGGUCAAUGGGCGAGAGCCUGAACCAGCCAAGUCGCGUGAAGGAAGACAGUCCUAAGGAUUGUAAACUUCUUUUAUACGGGAAUAACGGGCGAUACGAGUAUUGCAUUGAAUGUACCGUAAGAAUAAGCAUCGGCUAACUCCGUGCCAGCAGCCGCGGUAAUACGGAGGAUGCGAGCGUUAUCCGGAUUUAUUGGGUUUAAAGGGUGCGUAGGUUGUUCGGUAAGUCGGCGGUGAAACCUGAGCGCUCAACGUUCAGCCUGCCGUUGAAACUGCCGGGCUUGAGUUCAGUGGCGGCAGGCGGAAUUCGUGGUGUAGCGGUGAAAUGCAUAGAUAUCACGAGGAACUCCGAUUGCGAAGGCAGCUUGCCAUACUGCGACUGACACUGAAGCACGAAGGCGUGGGUAUCAAACAGG